rnacentral:rRNA from 1 species
UACGAGGGGGGGCUAGCGUUGCUCGGAAUUACUGGGCGUAAAGGGCGCGUAGGCGGGUCGUUAAGUUAGAGGUGAAAGCCCAGGGCUCAACCCUGGAAUUGCCUUUAAUACUGGCGGCCUUGAGUAUGGCAGAGGUGUGUGGAACUCCGAGUGUAGAGGUGAAAUUCGUAGAUAUUCGGAAGAACACCAGUGGCGAAGGCGACACACUGGGCCAUUACUGACGCUGAGGCGCGAAAGCGUGGGGAGCAAACAGGG